UACGGAGGGUGCAAGCGUUAAUCGGAAUUACUGGGCGUAAAGCGUGCGCAGGCGGUUUUGUUUAAGUCCGUUGUGAAAGCCCCGAGCUCAACUUGGGAAUUGCAGUGGAUACUGGCAGGCUGGAGUACGGUAGAGGAAGGUGGAAUUCCCGGUGUAGCAGUGAAAUGCGUAGAUAUCGGGAGGAACACCAGUGGCGAAGGCGGCCUUCUGGACCAGUACUGACGCUCAUGCACGAAAGCGUGGGGAGCAAACAGG
rnacentral:rRNA from 1 species